UAAUCUCAUAAGGGGUGCCCGAAUGGGCUGAGAUCAUACCCAAUGAACCUGGGCAGGUAAUGCUGCCAAGGGAAUUGCGUGAAAGCGCAG
rnacentral:ncRNA from 1 species